GAUGAACGCUAGCUACAGGCUUAACACAUGCAAGUCGCGGGGCAGCAUGGGGGUUGCUUGCAAUCCCCGAUGGCGACCGGCGCACGGGUGAGUAACGCGUAUCCAACCUGCCCUUCACCACGGGAUAACCCGGCGAAAGUCGGACUAAUACCGUAUGUUGUCCAUUGACGGCAUCCGAUUUGGACGAAAGGCUUGGCGGUGAGGGAUGGGGAUGCGUCCGAUUAGCCAGACGGCGGGGUAACGGCCCACCGUGGCUACGAUCGGUAGGGGUUCUGAGAGGAAGGUCCCCCACACUGGAACUGAGACACGGUCCAGACUCCUACGGGAGGCAGCAGUGAGGAAUAUUGGGCAAUGGGCGUAAGCCUGAACCAGCCAAGUAGCGUGCAGGAUGACGGCCCUAUGGGUUGUAAACUGCUUUUAUGCGGGGAUAAAGUGGCCCACGGGUGGGCUUUUGCAGGUACCGCAUGAAUAAGGACCGGCUAAUUCCGUG
rnacentral:rRNA from 1 species